GGGUGAUUAGCUCAGUUGGUUAGAGCAUUACGUUGACAUCGUAAAGGUUGAGGGUUCGAAUCCCCCAUCGCCCACCA
rnacentral:tRNA from 11 species